rnacentral:rRNA from 1 species
AACGAACGCUGGCGGCAUGCCUAACACAUGCAAGUCGAACGCCAUGGUUUCGGCCAUGGAGUGGCGCACGGGUGAGUAACGCGUGGGAACCUGCCCAGCAGUAUGGGACAACCGCGGGAAACUGCGGCUAAUACCGUAUACGCCCGUCUUUGGGAGACCAGGGGCGGGGAAAGAUUGAUCGCUGUUGGAGGGGCCCGCGUCGGAUUAGGUAGUUGGUGGGGUAAAGGCCUACCAAGCCUGCGAUCCGUAGCUGGUCUGAGAGGAUGAUCAGCCAAACUGGGACUGAGACACGGCCCAGACUCCUACGGGAGGCAGCAGUGGGGAAUAUUGGACAAUGGGCGCAAGCCUGACCCAGCAAUGCCGCGUGAGUGAUGAAGGCCUUAGGGUUGUAAAGCUCUUUCACACGCGACGAUGAUGACGGUAGCGUGAGAAGAAGCCCCGGCUAACUCCGUGCCAGCCGCCGCCGUAAUAC